rnacentral:lncRNA from 1 species
UGGAAAUCCAGAAUGUCUCAGCAGAAGCAGAAGCAGUGUGCUCCACCACAGCAGUGCUGCCCCCCACCUCAGCAGUGUGCCCCCCCACAGCAGUGCUGCCCCCCACCCCAGCAAUGUGCUCCCCCACAGCAAUGCUGCCCUCCACCGCAGCAGUGUGCCCCUCCACAGCAGUGCUGCCCCCCACCAAAGCAGUGCUGCCCCCCACCCCAGCAGACCAAGCAGCCUUGCCAGCCUCCUCCCAAGUGCCAGCAGAAGUGUCCACCACCCCAGCAAUGCCAGAAGUCCAAGCAGAAAUGAAUUCUCAGCUUAUGGCCAGAGGAGAAUUCCCAGGAAGACAGAACAUGAAGAUUGUCUUUCUUGGUCAGCACCUGACAUUCCUUCUAGUAUUAGCUCACCCCUGGUUCUGGAUGCAGCCAUAUUUCAGAGGUGGAAAAGAAGCAUCUGGUCUGCAGCUUCCUCGAUCUCAAGCUCUUCUUAAUUAGCAGUUGCAGUUUUCAUCUCUGACAAGAAUCUGCUCCUAAACUGUCUAAUCAUCUUCACUGACAUGUGUCUACAUCACCCUGCUGGAAACCCAGGUGGCACGCCCAGACGCCCUUUCUCAUCUCCCUUCCCAAGCAAUUAAAAGAAAAUUCCUCUGGCACCAAA